UGAAUACGAGAUGCUACGGCGUCGAAGCAGUGUAUGUCAGACUUCCAAGAAAAGCUCGCAAUGUCAUAAAUAAAGAAUGCCUGUACCAUAACCGACACAGGUGGGUAGGUAGAGUAUACUAAGGGGCGCGAGAUAACUCUCUCUAAGGAACUCGGCAAAAUAACUCCGUAACUUCGGGAGAAGGAGUGCCUUCUUUAAGAAGGUUGCAAUAACAAGAUCCAAGCAACUGUUUAUCAAAAACACAGGUCUCCGCUAAGUCGUAAGACGAUGUAUGGGGGCUGACGCCUGCCCAGUGCCAGAAGGUUAAAGAAGUUGGUUAGCUUUUGCGAAGCUGAUGACUGAAGCCCUGGUGAACGGCGGCCGUAACUAUAACGGUCCUAAGGUAGCGAAAUUCCUUGUCGGGUAGUUCCGACCCGCACGAGAGGCGUAAUGAUUUGGAUACUGUCUCGGAGAGGGACUCGGUGAAAUAGUCUUGUCUGUGAAGAUGCGGACUACCUGCACCAGGACAGAAAGACCCUAUGAAGCUUUACUGUAACUUGAAAUUGAAAUUGGACUUUAUUUGCGCAGUAUAGGUGGAAGGCGUUGAAAGUAAUCUUGCGGGAUUAGUGGAGCCAUCAGUGAGAUACCACUCCUAUAAUGUUAGAUUUCUAACUUUGGAUCAUGAUCUGGUCAAAGAACAGUUUCAGGCGGGCAGUUUGACAGGGGCGGUCGCCUCCCAAAUGGUAACGGAGGCGUACAAAGGUUUCCUCUGAACGGGUAGAAAUCGUAUCUAGAGUGUAAAGGCAUAAGGAAGCUUGACUGUGAGACCUACAAGUCGAGCAGGGACGAAAGUCGGUCUUAGUGAUCUGACGGUGCUGAGUGGAAAGGCCGUCACUCAACGGAUAAAAGUUACUCUAAGGAUAACAGGCUGAUCUCCCCCAAGAGUUCACAUCGACGGGGAGGUUUGGCACCUCGAUGUCGGCUCAUCGCAUCCUGGGGCGGUAGUACGUCCCAAGGGUUGGGCUGUUCGCCCAUGAAAGCGGUACGCGAGCUGGGUUCAGAACGUCGUGAGACAGUUCGGUCCAUAUCCGGUGUAGGCGUUAGAAUAUUGAGAGGAGCCUUCUUUAGUACGAGAGGACCGAGAAGGACAUACCUCUGGUGUACCAGUUAUCGUGCCAACGGUAAACGCUGGGUAGCUAUGUAUGGAGAGGAUAACCGCUGAAAGCAUCUAAGUGGGAAGCCCACCUCAAGAUGAG
rnacentral:rRNA from 1 species